rnacentral:rRNA from 1 species
UACGUAGGUGGCGAGCGUUAUCCGGAAUUAUUGGGCGUAAAGGGUGCGCAGGCGGCAAGAGAAGCUUAAGUUGAAAGCGUGGGGCUCAACUCCAUAAAGGCUUAGGAACUGACUUGCUGGAGUGCAGGAGAGGGCGAUGGAAUUCCAUGUGUAGCGGUAAAAUGCGUAGAGAUAUGGAGGAACACCAGUGGCGAAGGCGGUCGCCUGGCCUGUAACUGACGCUGAGGCACGAAAGCGUGGGGAGCAAAUAGG